GGAGCUCAUUGAUGCCCUGGUCCAGAUCUGGGAGGAGAUCCCCGAGGACACCAUCUGUUGUCUCAUUAAGAGCAUCCCCGACGCUAUCAGCCAUGCAUACAAGUAUGCAGGGACCAUACAAACUACCAAGUACCAUUUCAAGUUGCUGCAAAUUAAUUUUCUGUCAAAUGGACAAGCCUGCCGCAUUGUUUUUCCACUUUGAUUUUCAGGGAUCUUUGAAUUCAGCCCUCUGUAGGGUCCUGUCACUCCUAACACAUUAUCCAGUCCGUAUCAGUCCAGAUAUCCAACAUAUUUUUUUUCCUCAUUGAGAUCUGGUGUAUAUUAAAAACUUUCUUUUAGCUUUUUAUUCAUGAGAAAAAUGUCAUGACAGUAAAACCACAAAGACCUGGCACGACUGGUUCAGACUGAGUGUAACACAUUAAACUGUAGUUACUUCACUGUUCACAGCUCGGUUCACCACAGAGCAGCAGUAACAUAAAAACCCGGAGUAAUGGCUACAUCCAGCAAGAUAUUUUUACACGAUAGCUAAAAUAACCGCACACAGCAGACUGAUUGUUCCUCGACAUGGCAUGAAAACAGUUUGUACACAGAAAGCAGACUGAGUCAUUUAUAGUUAUGUGGUACUACAACAUGCAGAUGCAUUCACUAAAGCUCCACGGCACCUUCAUCUGUUCCACAACCAGAAUAGCCAGGGUUUCCGCUCUCCAAUUACACAACAUUACUUCAUCUUUUGGCCUCUUUCUAUCCCACUCACAAAAAAAAUAAAAAAUCCCAUCUCCAUAGCAACAAACUCUCAUCCAUAGUUCACAAAAAUAAUUGUUUGCUCCCGCAUCAAACAGUUGUUCCGUGGAAGCUGUUAAAUUUUGAGAACUUGUGCGUCUGUGCCCACCUUUGGUAUAUUUAACAUAAAAGCCCAAGGCCUCUGACUUUUCUAUUUAUGUCCUUUGUGUGCUUCUGCCUCUAUACGCUGCUGCAGAGGCUGAGGUGGAAGAUAGUUGACUGCGCCGGUCCAGACGGUCUUAAAAGCAGGACUGUUCAUUAUUCACAUGUCCUUGGGUUGAGUGGAUGCAUGUCUGUAUUGCUUGUUAUUGGUCAGCUCGGCUCUGAUGCUAUCACAUAAAGGCACAGAUGCUGGAAAAAAAAGCACUUAAAUAAAAAAGAUGUCAAUGUUUCUCC
ensembl:lncRNA